GAUGAACGCUAGCUACAGGCUUAACACAUGCAAGUCGAGGGGCAGCGCAGUGUAGCAAUACACGGGCGGCGACCGGCGCACGGGUGCGUAACGCGUGUCCAACCUUCCCGUUACUCAGGGAUAGCCUUCCGAAAGGGAGAUUAAUACCUGAUGGUGUUCAAAUUCCGCAUGUUAUUUGAACUAAAGAUUCAUCGGUAACGGAUGGGGAUGCGUGACAUUAGAUAGUAGGCGGGGUAACGGCCCACCUAGUCUACGAUGUCUAGGGGUUCUGAGAGGAAGGUCCCCCACACUGGAACUGAGACACUGUCCAGACUCCUACGGGAGGCAGCAGUGAGGAAUAUUGGUCAAUGGUCGGAAGACUGAACCAGCCAAGUAGCGUGAAGGAUGAAGGUUCUAUGGAUUGUAAACUUCUUUUAUACGGGAAUAAAACCUCCCACGUGCGGGAGCUUGUAUGUACCGUAUGAAUAAGCAUCGGCUAACUCCGUGCCAGCAGCCGCCGUAAGAC
rnacentral:rRNA from 1 species